GAGAUGGGUAAGAAAAAGUAGGAAAUGAGAAAUAUUGGAAUGUUGCAGCAGCUACAAGUUGCCUAGCUAGUGGGGACAGAGACUGAAUAGUCAGAAUUAGUCCCAGGCUCCUUCAUUCAGCCCUCAAAUGUUGAACUGCCUUCCUCCUUUCUUCUUCACAUCUUAUAGGUCCUGGCAAAGAUCCCCAAAACUCUGUUGUCUGGAAUGAUCCCCAGCGUGAGUCCCUGACCCUGAUCUCAUCGCAUGAUCCAAGCUGCUGUUCCUCAGCACACAUACUGCAGAGCACUGGAUACAGAUUUAGUCCCAUAUAUCCAGCAGAAAGAGCUACACAGCAAGAGGAUCAACAUCAAAAGGUAA